rnacentral:lncRNA from 10 species
GAUCUCCCUCCAGCAGCCUUGCCAGGCAGUGCCUGGCCUGGAGAAGGGGCCCUGCCCCUUCCGGGGCAGGUCUCCGGGAGGGGCAGGUCCGCGGCGUGCCUCCAACCCGGCGCCUGCAGCCCCGGGGCAACAAGCUUCAGACAAAAGUGAAGCAAAUUAAAGUCCAUCCCGCCAUCCUUCCAAAGAGCAAAGAAAGUCCAUGGAAAUUCAUCAACAUCCAGGAUGCUCAGGAGCUUCCAGGUUCAACAGAUGCGUGAGAUCCAUAGCAGAAACAUUGCUGUCCUCUUCAGAUUCAAGUACGGGUGAAAGUCAAGCUCUGGGAUACUGGAGCAGGGCUAUAUAAUUCUCUUUCCCUUGUAAUUUCAUUAAAAAAGAUUAAGGAAACCCUUGAAAAGUUGUAGAUACCUAAAAUUUUGGCCGUGCAUUGAUCAUCCACAAAAAGUGAAAGAUCACAAGUGAUCAAGCCACAUGUGUGAAAAAUCUCAAAUACACUUUGGGAGGCCGAGGCGGGCCGAUCAUAAGGUCAGGAGAUCGACACCAUCCUGGCUAACAGGGUGAAACCCCGUCUCUACUAAAAAUACAAAAAAUUAGCUGGGCAUGGUGGUGGGCACCUGUAGUCCCAGCUACUGGGAAGACUGAGGCAGAAGAAUGGCGUGAACCCGGGAGGCGAAGCUUGCAGUGAGCCGAGAUCGCACCACUGCACUCUAGCCUGGGCAACAGAGCGAGACUCCAUCUCAAAAAAAAAAAAAAAAAAAAAAAGAAAGAAAACUCUCAAAUAACUCUUGAUUCAAAUAGUCAACAUAACUCCUGGAGGAAAAAAAAAAGCAUUUCUACAUUGAGAGAGACAUUGCUAUAGUCCCC